rnacentral:rRNA from 1 species
CUACGGGAGGCUGCAGUAGGGAAUAUUGGACAAUGGGCGAAAGCCUGAUCCAGCAACACCGCGUGCACGAUGACGGCCUUCGGGUUGUAAAGUGCUUUUAGAGGAGAUGAGAAAGGACAGUAUCCUCUGAAUAAGCCUCGGCGAACUACGUGCCAGCAGCCGCGGUAAAACGUAGGAGGCAAGCGUUAUCCGGAUUUAUUGGGCGUAAAGCGCGUGCAGGCGGUCUAGCAAGUUGGAUGUGAAAGCUCCCGGCUCAACUGGGAGAGGUCGUUCAAUACUGUUAGACUAGAGAAUAGGAGAGGGAGGUGGAAUUCCGGGUGUAGUGGUGAAAUGCGUAGAUAUCCGGAGGAACACCAGUGGCGAAAGCGGCCUCCUGGACUAUUUCUGACGCUAAGACGCGAAAGCUAGGGUAGCAAACGGGAUUAGAUACCCCGGUACUC